rnacentral:rRNA from 1 species
UACGAAAGGGGCUAGCGUUGUUCGGAAUUACUGGGCGUAAAGCGCGCGUAGGCGGCUUAGCAAGUGAGGCGUGAAAGUCCUGGGCUCAACCUGGGGACGGCGCUUCAGACUGCUAGGCUUGAGUCCGGAAGAGGGUGGUGGAAUUCCGAGUGUAGAGGUGAAAUUCGUAGAUAUUCGGAGGAACACCGGUGGCGAAGGCGGCCACCUGGUCCGGUACUGACGCUCAAGUGCGAAAGCGUGGGGAGCAAACAGG